rnacentral:misc_RNA from 1 species
AAAUGCGAUAAGUAGUGUGAAUUGCAGAAUUCAGUGAAUCAUCGAAUCUUUGAACGCACAUUGCGCCCUAUGGUAUUCCGUAGGGCAUGCCUGUUCGAGCGUCAUUUACACCUUCAAGCCUUGCUUGGUGUUGGGUGACUGUGGCCCCUUUGGGGCCACUCGCCUUAAAGUCAUUGGCGGCCGGUUCGUUGGCUUUGUAGCGCAGCACAAUUGCGUCCUCGAAGCCGCUUGACCAGCUCCCAGAAGCUAAUUUUAAAUGUUUGACCUCGAAUCAGGUAGGGAUACCCGCUGAACUUAAGC